UACGAAGGGGGCUAGCGUUGUUCGGAAUUACGUUGGGACGUAAAGCGCACGUAGGCGGAUAUUUAAGUUAAGGGGUGAAAUCCCCAAGGGCUCAACCCUGGGAACUGCCUUUAAUACUGGGUAUCUCGAGUCCGAGAGAGGUGAGUGGAAUUCCGAGUGUAGAGGUGAAAAUUCGUAGAUAUUCGGAAAGAACACCGGUGGCGAAGGCGGCCAACUGGACGGUGACUGACGGCUGAGACGCGAAAGCGUGGG
rnacentral:rRNA from 1 species